AUGUCGCCUGGAGUGGUGGCCAGCAUGGUGGGUGGGUGGGUGGAGGACCUGGACCCUGGGUGGCCGGCCACCUGGCCUUUCCCCCUGAGCCCCCCAGCCCCGUGGGAACCCUCAACAGCCCACCUGCAGGACAUGCGCGCCCCUCCCCAAUGCAUCCGUGGCCCUGGCCCCCCACUCCCUCCCCGUCCCUCCCUGCCUGGCCCUCGCCAGUCUCACAACUCGGAUACGGCAGCCCUGGCCUGGCCCAGCCCUGACCUGUGGCACCAGCCUCCCUCUGCAGGGCCCAGCAUCUCCACCACUGGCACACAGGAGGACACCCAUCGGGGACCCUGCGUUUGCCUCCCACUCUGGGCAGCCGUGUCCCCCCGCAGAGCCCAGCCUCGUCGCCCAGGACGUCCCCACCACUGUGGCCCCACUCUGCCACGUGAGGCUCUCAGACACCACUUGGAGACUCUCCUGGCCCCAUCCACCAGGGGACAGCAGCACCGCGUGCCCAGGAUGGCGGGGCUGCGGAACAGGUCACACGUGUGUGUCCUGAGGCCUGGCGCAUCGGGGACUGAGCAUCUCGUCCUCGGAGGGGUCCAGGCAGCCACUGGUGAGGACGCGGUGGACACCUGGAGCAGGACAGGCCAUCCAUCCGCGAUGCUCCCAGCACUCGAGCUCCCCAUCCCCAGCACGGCCGGCGGAGGAAGAAGGGCCCACUCUGGUCUCGGGUCUCGGGUCUCAGGUCCCCGUCUCCGUCAGGGGGGCCUCACCGGGCAGCCGCCCUCCCUGCCAGGGUGUCACGGGGCAGACAAGGAGAAAGACAAGAAGGAAACCUUUGCCAUGGGACACGCCAUCAAGGACCAGAGCCCCAUCACCAUGAGGAAGCCCGGCCCAUCCCGAUGGAUGAGGCCCAACCAGGACCCAGGACAUCCCGGCUCCCUCACCCCCUGCCCCUCAGAGUCACACGCUCCCUGCCCCCUCCCGGAAUGCCCGCGGCCCCACCUCCUGCGAAUACACCACUCCUCCAGGCAUCUGCCCUGUUUGCUUCUCACAGUCCCUGGGCUGGCUCCUCCUCUGGCUUCAGGGGCCUGGCGCGACGGCAAGUCCUGGCAGUGACAAGGCUUUGAUGCAAAUAAAAGGAACUCGGAGCAGCUAAGGAAAGAGGGC
rnacentral:lncRNA from 1 species